UUUUGGACCCUUUUUCACCUGCUCAAGUAAUUAAAUUUAGUAUGUUGAGGAAAUUUUUUAUUUUUAUAGGUAGAUGGGUUUGGUAAUAUUAGUAUUCAAUUUUCUUGAUUUUUUUACUAUUGGUGUCGGAUUUUUUUGGUAUUUAUGUUUUAAUAUUACCAGAAAUGGCUUAUUUAAAAUGUAGAUUUUUUUUGUUUUUCUAUUUAUUAUAUCUAUGGGAUUUGAUAAAAUAUGUCUAUGUAGGGGGUUUCAAUUCUUUUGGGAUCUUAUUAUAUUUCACUACUGGUUUUGAAUCCAAUUGAUAUAUACUGUUUUUGGGUAUAAUUUUUUUCCCUUGGUUGCAUAGUAUCAGUGACUCUUUGGGGGACUGCACUGAUACGUUCACACUGUAGAAUUGCAUGAUCAAGCUACAAUUAAUGGAGAAUAUGCUGAUGGAAGUUGUGAAAUAUAAUAAGGUUGUUGAUUGGUGGCUGCUAGACGCUCGCUGCUGGACGCUGUUAGCUGUAGGCGGCAAGAAUAGUGAGAGGCUGAAGGCACGAUGACGGUGAGUGAGGGAAAUGAGAGAUUUAGGGAUUUUGGUUUCG
rnacentral:lncRNA from 1 species